rnacentral:lncRNA from 1 species
AAAAUAAUAUAUUUGGACAAUACACUAAAGAAAUUGGUACCAAAUUAAUAAUAUUUUUGUCUUGGUAUUCCAACUAACUAACUAAAUAAGCCUAUAAAAGAAAGAGAUUCCCGCUUUCUAAUUUUAGCGAGUGGGUGGAUGCAUGUUCUCCAUUCCAUUAGCUCCUUAGCUUCUGAGCCAUAGAAAAUAGUCAAAUUGAUAAAAGAAAAAUGUGCUUCCUCAGAGCCCAAAUAUAUCUGUCCUCAAAAUUGGUUUGUUUUGGGAAUAUUUGUUUGCUCAAUAUGAGUGGGAGGGCGUGAAAGAACAUAUUUUUUGCAUUGAUGAGUUUGAGCCUGGGAAGAGAAACCUUACAAUAGAAUAGAAUAGAAGAGAGAAGAGAAAUCUUACAAUAGAAGAGAAGAGAAGAGAAUCGGAGGGUAAUGGAAGGAUUGGAUGGUUUGAUAGAUAGGCUUUUGGAAGUAAGGAAGAACAGGGGGAAACGGAUUCAACUGGUGGAGUCAGAAAUUCGGAACCUUUGCAGCACGGCCAAAGAUCUGUUUCUAAGCCAGCCAAACCUUCUGGAAUUGGAGGCUCCCAUAAACGUCUGUGGUGAGUUUAUUCAUUCAUGCAUUCACCUUCAUAUUGUUCGAGAUGCUCAUCUACAAUAAAUAAGACAUUCACAAAUUAAAAGAUAAUGUUAAAUGAGUUUAAAUAUUUUAUUAUCAAAAUAAAAUAUAUCAGUCUUAGCAUAUAGAAUAAGAUAUUGAUAUCCAAAAGUGAGUCAAGUUUAUAUUAGAUAGAAAUGGAAAAAUUGAAGAAGAUGAAUAUUAACUCAAUCUACAAAAUUGGAAUAGAGAUGUCUAAAAAACACAAAAUAUAGCUAGGAUAAUUAUGAUUCUGAUAUUAUAUUAAAAGUGGAUUUUAAGUCUGACUCAAUCCAAAAAACUGAUUUGUAAGGUGAGAUUUGCACCUCACUUGUAUAUUAUAAAUGGAUAUAAUCUCUAGUCGACAUGAAACUUCCAAAACACGUUCAGAUAUAGACAUUUCGUAAAUGAUAGUAGAAAUUGGAUGGUCCAAUAAGGAUUCCACAGUCAAUCCAAACAAAAAUACUUACUUAUAACUUACUAUAAUAGGAAAUGAUGAUAAUCU